AGAUUGAGAGGAAAGAUGAGAGGGAGGAGAUACAAAAGUGAAAACAAAAACUAAAAACUGAAAUCUAUUUGAAAUUGUUUUGACUUUUGUUACUACUCCCUCCCAUCCUCCCCUUUCAUCAUC
rnacentral:miRNA from 1 species